rnacentral:sRNA from 1 species
UUGUCGGCAUCGAGCAGGCGGAACCCCGCCAGCACGUCCCGGCUCGUGGAUU